rnacentral:rRNA from 1 species
UACGGGGGGGGCAAGCGUUGUUCGGAAUUACUGGGCGUAAAGGGCUCGUAGGCGGCUCGCUAAGUCAGACGUGAAAGCCCUCGGCUUAACCGGGGAACGGCGUCUGAGACUGGCAAGCUGGAAUCCGGGAGAGGGAUGCGGAAUUCCAGGUGUAGCGGUGAAAUGCGUAGAUAUCUGGAGGAACACCGGUGGCGAAGGCGGCAUCCUGGACCGGUAUUGACGCUGAGGAGCGAAAGCCAGGGGAGCAAACGGG